rnacentral:tRNA from 1 species
CUGGGUGUAGCUCAGUCUGGUUAGAGUCCUCGCUUUGGAAGCGAGAUGUCGGUGGUUCAAAUCCAUCCACCCAGACCA